AUACUGUUAGUAUAUAUUAUUAUAUCACUUUUCCAAAGUGGGGAACUAUGAGUUUAGACAGUAUA
rnacentral:tRNA from 1 species